UACUUACAUUUAUGAAAGCUUUGAAAUGUAUGGGAUGAUUUUGUGAGUGAAUAUGAACCUCUAGCCAAGUGGAUACUUGCAUUCUUCAAGUAAUUCCACUGGGUCCUUCGAUCACAUAUUACUUUAUCCACCUCUGAAACCUCUUGAGAUUCAGAAGGACUCUUGCCCUAAACAUCACUCAUCUUUUUUUUUUUCUACCCCAGGAGAACCAGGUGCACCACCUGAAGGAGAACCAGGUGCACCACCUGAAGGAGAACCAGGUGCACCACCUGAAGGAGAACCAGGUGCACCACCUGAAGAACCCCCAAGCGAACCACCUGGU